GACGAACGCUGGCGGCGUGCUUAACACAUGCAAGUCGAACGGAAAGGCCUUUUCGGAGGUACUCGAGUGGCGAACGGGUGAGUAACACGUGGGUGAUCUGCCCUGCACUCUGGGAUAAGCCUGGGAAACUGGGUCUAAUACCGGAUAGGACCGCACUUUAGUGUGUGUGGUGGAAAGUUUUUUCGGUGUAGGAUGAGCCCGCGGCCUAUCAGCUUGUUGGUGGGGUAAUGGCCUACCAAGGCGGCGACGGGUAGCCGGACUGAGAGGUUGUUCGGCCACAUUGGGACUGAGAUACGGCCCAGACGCCUACGGGAGGCAGCAGUGGGGAAUAUUGCACAAUGGGCGCAAGCCUGAUGCAGCGACGCCGCGUGGGGGAGGACGGCCUUCGGGUUGUAAACUCCUUUCGCCAGGGACGAAGCGUUUUGUGACGGUACCUGGAGAAGAAGCACCGGCUAACUACGUG
rnacentral:rRNA from 1 species